GAUGAACGCUGGCGGCGUGCCUAAUACAUGCAAGUCGAGCGAACAGACGAGGAGCUUGCUCCUCUGACGUUAGCGGCGGACGGGUGAGUAACACGUGGAUAACCUACCUAUAAGACUGGGAUAACUUCGGGAAACCGGAGCUAAUACCGGAUAAUAUAUUGAACCGCAUGGUUCAAUAGUGAAAGACGGUUUUGCUGUCACUUAUAGAUGGAUCCGCGCCGCAUUAGCUAGUUGGUAAGGUAACGGCUUACCAAGGCAACGAUGCGUAGCCGACCUGAGAGGGGGGACGGCCCACCCUGGAAUUGGACCCGGGCCCAGCCCCCCCCGGGAGGCGCCAGUGGGCAUUUUUCGGCAAGGGCCGAACGCCUUACGGCGCCACCCCGCGGGAAGAAUGAGGGUUUUGGGUUCGUAAACCCUUUUUAUUGGGGAAAAAAAAAUUUGUAAUAAACUCUGCCCUUCUUGACGGUCCCUAAUAGAAAACCCCCGCCAAACUCCGUC
rnacentral:rRNA from 1 species